UGGGAACUCCACUUCCAUUUGAACUCCAUGUUGACUGACUCAACUUCCUCAAAAAUUACUCUUUGGGGUCUGGGCUGUUCAAUCUGGACUGCAAAAAGCAAACAUACUUGCCUGUUUGUAAUUCACUUCUACUAUCAGCCUAUGGGAUCAAGUCCACCCUCCUGAGUCUGGCCAAUUCUCCCCUUCCAACCUCAUUCUCCAUCUCUCCCAAACUGGAAGCAGGACUUGGCAGCGGUUGGGACCAAUGGCUUUGGAUUCAGGAGGCCUCAGCUCACAUUACAGCUUCAACACUUACCAGCUUGGCUCACUGCUAACUAUCAAGUGGAUUCAACACUACCGUCUCAGCUGAAGAAAUUCAGAGAGAAGAACGUCAUCAGGUGAGAGCUACCUAGCGGUUGUGUAUGCUACACUCUGGGCUUUUCCAGGCCUCCUGAAACCCACUGCUGAUCUCUUAGAGAAAUGCUCAAGGUGAAGAGAAGUUGGCCUUGGAUCUAUCCUGUAAAAUGACCAUCACCUUGGUAUUGGUGGCCACUCACCAGGGAAGUGUAUGUGUAACACCUUAGGAGAUAGGAGACCUCUCACAGAAAUAGCUGGAUUCAAAUAAUAAAUCAUCGGGACUUGAAGGAAGCUACCAAACUCCCCCUUUAAUUGAUGUGGAAACUGAGAUCCAAAGAAAUCAAAAUACAUAUUUGAGAUCACGUAGCAAGGCUGAAAGGUAGAGGCAGGCUCUAUUUUUGUUUCUGAAUGCGCAACUGAAAAUGUUCAAACAAAAAUGUUUCAAACCCACUCCUGGCCACUGACCCUAAAUAUCUCAUCUUAAUAAGAUUGAUGACAGAUAACAAACACUUUCAUUUGCAUGUUCAUAUCCCUUGAAUCCUCUGAUACUCUCAAGUCAGAGAAGGUCCUAUGACAAGUAAGUAGAAAGAGGCCCUUAGUUUUGGAAUAAUCAGUCAUGCAAAUAAGCACAACUGGAAUUAUGAUGAUUUUGUAUCCAAACAUAAGAUAAAACAAUUAGGUUUACAAAAGUUCUGUCAUUUCGGUCCAACAUAUAAGCAGCAAGCACCACUCCCUGCCUCCCACCAUGCUCUUCCCUAUACUCCGGGCUUAUUAAAAUAAGUUAGAUGUGGCUCACUCAUUUAUUAGGUCAUUCAAAAUACCAAAUACUGGACGUCUCCCAAAGUUGAUAGGUUUGUCAAGAAAUUCAUAUAAGAAAACAGCCUCCCCAAAUCUAUAUCAUGUUCGCAUGUGAUUUGUUGCAUGAGGUUUA